GUGUUUGUUUCAGCAGCACAUAUACUAAAAUUGGAAUGAUACAGAGAAGAUUAGCAUGGCCCCUGUGUAAGGAUGACAUGGAAAUUCAUGAAGCAUUCCACAUUAAA
rnacentral:snRNA from 1 species